AGUAACGCGUGGGAAUCUACCGUGCCCUACGGAAUAGCUCCGGGAAACUGGAAUUAAUACCGUAUACGCCCUUCGGGGGAAAGAUUUAUCGGGGUAUGAUGAGCCCGCGUUGGAUUAGCUAGUUGGUGGGGUAAAGGCCUACCAAGGCGACGAUCCAUAGCUGGUCUGAGAGGAUGAUCAGCCACAUUGGGACUGAGACACGGCCCAAACUCCUACGGGAGGCAGCAGUGGGGAAUAUUGGACAAUGGGCGCAAGCCUGAUCCAGCCAUGCCGCGUGAGUGAUGAAGGUCUUAGGAUUGUAAAGCUCUUUCACCGGAGAAGAUAAUGACGGUAUCCGGAGAAGAAGCCCCGGCUAACUUCGUGCCAGCAGCCGCGGUAAUACGAAGGGGGCUAGCGUUGUUCGGAAUUACUGGGCGUAAAGCGCACGUAGGCGGAUAUUUAAGUCAGGGGUGAAAUCCCGCAGCUCAACUGCGGAACUGCCUUUGAUACUGGGUAUCUUGAGUAUGGAAGAGGUUAGUGG
rnacentral:rRNA from 1 species